AUUGAACGCUGGCGGCAUGCCUUACACAUGCAAGUCGAACGGCAGCGGGGGAGAAGCUUGCUUUUCCUGCCGGCGAGUGGCGAACGGGUGAGUAAUACAUCGGAACGUGCCCUGUAGUGGGGGAUAACUAGUCGAAAGAUUAGCUAAUACCGCAUGCGACCUGAGGGUGAAAGUGGGGGACCGCAAGGCCUCAUGCUAUAGGAGCGGCCGAUGUCUGAUUAGCUAGUUGGUGGGGUAAAGGCCUACCAAGGCGACGAUCAGUAGCUGGUCUGAGAGGACGAUCAGCCACACGGGGACUGAGACACGGCCCAGACUCCUACGGGAGGCAGCAGUGGGGAAUUUUGGACAAUGGACGAAAGCCUGAUCCAGCAAUGCCGCGUGUGUGAAGAAGGCCUUCGGGUUGUAAAGCACUUUUGUCCGGAAAGAAAUGGCUCUGGUUAGUACCUGGGGUCGAUGACGGUACCGGAAGAAUAAGGACCGGCUAACUACGUGCCAGCAGCCGCGGUAA
rnacentral:rRNA from 1 species